rnacentral:rRNA from 1 species
CAAAAGGUUUGGUCCUGGCCUUUUUAUUAACUCUUAGUAAACUUACACAUGCAAAUAUCCUUGCUCCUGUGAGAAUGCCCUCUAUAUCACCAUGAUCAAAAGGUGCAGGCAUCAAGCUCACUUAAACAGUUGCUCAUAACGCCUUGCUCAACCACACCCCCACGGGAUACAGCAGUGAUUAAGAUUAAGCCAUGAACGAAAGUUCGACUAAGUUAUACUAACAUCAGGGUUGGUAAAUUUCGUGCCAGCCACCGCGGUCAUACGAUUAACCCUAGUUAAUAAAACACGGCGUAAAGCGUGAUUAAAAACUUAAACCCAAUAAGACUAAGCCCAGACUAAGCUGUAAAAAGCCCUAGUCAUAGUAAAAAUAACUAAACGAAAGUAGUCUUAAAACAUUUGAAUUCACGAUAGCUAAGACCCAAACUGGGAUUAGAUACCCCACUAUGCUUAGCCCUAAACAUAAAUACUCAACUAACAAGACUAUUCGCCAGAGUACUACUAGCAACAGCUUAAAACUCAAAGGACUUGGCGGUGCUUUACAUCCCUCUAGAGGAGCCUGUUCUAUAAUCGAUAAACCCCGAUACACCUCACCACCUUUUGCAAACAUCAGCCUAUAUACCGCCAUCUUCAGCAAACCUUAACAAAGUCUCACAGUAAGCACAAUAANUAGCACAUAAAGACGUUAGGUCAAGGUGUAGCCCAUAAGGUGGGAAGAAAUGGGCUACAUUUUCUAUAUACUAGAACAGCCAUUCACGACAGCUUUGAUGAAACUCAAAGCUCAAGGCGGAUUUAGUAGUAAGCUAAGAAUAGAGUGCUUAGCUGAAUUGGGCAAUAAAGCACGCACACACCGCCCGUCACCCUCUUCAAAUUCCACGAACAACCAACCAUACUUAAUUUCCCCUACCAACAGAAUGAGAAGAGAUAAGUCGUAACAAGGUAAGCAUACUGGAAAGUGUGUUUGGAAUAAC